GACAGAGGUGCCGAGCGUUAGGCGGAAUCACUGGGCUUAAAGGGCGCGUAGGCGGUGCUGUAAGUCUGUAGUGAAAUCUCUGGGCUCAACUCAGAGUCUGCUAUAGAAACUGCAGUGCUAGAGUGUGGGAGAGGUGAGUGGAAUUCCCGGUGUAGCGGAGAAAUGCGUAGAUAUCGGGAGGAACACCUGUGGCGAAAGCGGCUCACUGGACCACAACUGACGCUGAGGCGCGAAAGCUAGGGGAGCAAACAGG
rnacentral:rRNA from 1 species